GAUGAACGCUAGCGGCAGGCCUAAUACAUGCAAGUCGGACGGGAUUGAGAAGCUUGCUUUUCAUGAGAGUGGCGCACGGGUGCGUAACACGUAUGUAACCUACCUUAAUCAGGGGGAUAGCCUCUCGAAAGAGAGAUUAACACCGCAUAAAAUCAAUUUAUGGCAUCAUAGAAUGAUCAAAUAUUUAUAGGAUUAAGAUGGGCAUGCGGAACAUUAGCUAGUUGGUAAGGUAACGGCUUACCAAGGCUACGAUGUUUAGGGGAGCUGAGAGGAUGACCCCCCACACUGGUACUGAGACACGGACCAGACUCCUACGGGAGGCAGCAGUAAGGAAUAUUGGUCAAUGGGCGCAAGCCUGAACCAGCCAUGCCGCGUGCAGGAAGACGGCCCCACGGGUUGUAAACUGCUUUUGUACCGGAAUAAACCUUUGUAUGUAUACGAAGCUGAAUGUACGGUAAGAAUAAGGAUCGGCUAACUCCGUGCCAGCCGCCGCCGUAA
rnacentral:rRNA from 1 species